rnacentral:rRNA from 1 species
UACGUAGGGUGCAAGCGUUGUCCGGAAUUAUUGUGCGUAAAGAGCUCGUAGGCGGUUUGUUGCGUCGGCUGUGAAAUCCCGAGGCUCAACCUCGGGUCUGCAGUCGAUACGAGCAAACUAGAGUGUUGCAGGGGAGACUGGAAUUCCUGGUGUAGCGGUGAAAUGCGCAGAUAUCAGGAGGAACACCAGGUGGCGAAAGGCGGGUCUC